GGUUUCUUGGCGCAGUUGGUCAGCGCGUCUCCUUAACACGGAGGAGGUCCUCAGUUCGAGCCUGGGAGAGAUCA
rnacentral:tRNA from 1 species